GUACACUCCUGCGGGAGGCAGCAGUGGGGAAUAUUGCACAAUGGGCGCAAGCCUGAUGCAGCCAUGCCGCGUGUAUGAAGAAGGCCUUCGGGUUGUAAAGUACUUUCAGCGGGGAGGAAGGCGAUAAGGUUAAUAACCUUGUUGAUUGACGUUACCCGCAGAAGAAGCACCGGCUAACUCCGUGCCAGCAGCCGCGGUAAUACGGAGGGUGCAAGCGUUAAUCGGAAUUACUGGGCGUAAAGCGCACGCAGGCGGUCUGUCAAGUCGGAUGUGAAAUCCCCGGGCUCAACCUGGGAACUGCAUUCGAAACUGGCAGGCUAGAGUCUUGUAGAGGGGGGUAGAAUUCCAGGUGUAGCGGUGAAAUGCGUAGAGAUCUGGAGGAAUACCGGUGGCGAAGGCGGCCCCCUGGACAAAGACUGACGCUCAGGUGCGAAAGCGUGGGGAGCAAACAGGAUUAGAAACCCGAGUAGUCCCAUGAU
rnacentral:rRNA from 1 species